AAGAGCUUCUUCCAAGGUUUGGCUGGUUCUGACUGUUGAUCUCCUGGGCUCCUGUCUGGGUUAUGUCAUAUCUAUGUCCUAAACCCUGGUUUUCUCUCAUUGAGGAAAAUUGAAGCCAUCGUCAAGCCAUUCAUUCAACGCUUGCCUUUCUGAGUGUUCUGCUUUCUGGAAUUAAUCUAAAUUUCCCUUUUCUCUCCCUCUUAUGUAGAAUAUUAGAGCUCAGGCAGGCCUUGAACUUGGAUCUGCCUACCUUUGCCUCUAAAGUGCUUUGAUUAUUUUUUUUUCUUUAUUUGCCAAGGAAGCCAGUACUCCAGAAUAGAUCUACCAAACAGAAUUCCAGCUCAGCAGUGUCCGAGUUAGUUUCUGCCUCUUUGCAGCUUCACCAACCUUUCCGUUAACAUUUGGCUCAAGGCCCCUCUCAGUGGUCGUCCUCAGAAGAACUUUCCACGUGAUAUCUGAGGCCAUCCUGCGGCCCCAGAGAACUUCAGCACACAGGGAGGCCUAAGAUCCGCUCCAAUAGCAUCUUAUUCUCAACACGCUAACGGAAACGUCUUUUAGACGUGGCAGCUUGGAGUGCCCUCGGAAACUACACAAGCAUAGUGGCAAAUCUCUGAGCAUAUUUACAGGGGUAGUGGGUCCUCUCUCUCCAGAUGGCUUGCCACGACGAGGUAAUCCCACUCUGUGUUACCGGUGAUUGAAUUCUCCCCCGAGGAAGGAAAGCGUAUGAGACCCAUGAACAUUUGAUGUAUGGAUAUUUCUAAACAGCCUGACUUGGAAAAGAUUAAAACAACCCCGCGUGCACAAUCCCUGGGCCACUCCAACAGCAGGACCAGGGUUUUAAUCGGCUCCAGGUGGCUCAGCUCAGGAAGGCUUAUGUUCCUUAGCUUCUUCAAUUAAGGCUAAGUGCAAUCAGAGGUGCCAGGGUUCAGAGGGUUCUGGCACAUUCAAAGGACAGACACAGGAUCUCCCUGCCAAGUCCUGGAGUACUGUCUUUGGGACUGUACUGUUCAUAAUGAGAAGCUACUGUGAUUAAUGAGCUGGAGGGAACGGGGAAAUCCCCUAUCUUAGGAAAUCAGAACCACGGCAGGAAACCUAAGAGCAAAUUAUUACACAGCUUGUCCCACCGCCUUGGGUUUCUUGACCUCACACGCUUUGUGCGCAACUCUUUCUUUGGGGGCCCCUGCCACAUAAACAGCCACGGUCUGAUUGCUCUGCGUCGUCUGCAGGCCCUGGGAUCGGUGUGUUUGUCUGGCGUUGCUCAGAGGCCCUGGGAGCUGGCCACAUUUAAAAGUAAGAUAUCGCUCUCAAACGCUAGGCUUAGGAAAUAAUCACACGACUGACUUCACCACCGCCUGCUUGAUGAGCUUCCGGUCUGAGCACCAGGAAGCGAGAGCACAGAAGAUGUCCGGAGGCACAACCUCUCAGGCACUGUCUUCAGCAAGUCAUAAAACUGUCGUACCUCAGCGGGGUAAAAUCAGAAUCCAGAAGGUUUUUUUGUUUGUUUGUUUGUUUUUUGUUUUUUGUUUUUUGCUUUUUUUUUCUGUCAUCUGAUGGUUAUGGUCAGAAUUUCACUGGAAGUAAGAAAACUGGUAUUGCAAACAGAUGGAUGGAUGAGAGUCUGUACCUUGAAUUUAAUGUCUCUUCAGAAAUAUUAUCACCAUAAUAGAUUUUAAAAGCACCGCUAGGAACCGUGAUAUACUCACAUUUUUGAUGACAUAGAUGUAACCUUAUCUUUUGUGACUAUCAAGAGGUCAUUAGAAGACAAGAAAACAGGGUGUAUUUUUCAGUCAAGUCAAAGAGAGUCCUUGGUAAUUUUUUUUUCUUUUCAAUUUUACAAGUGACUAAAGUUGGUAUUUAAAUUAGAUUUCGGUCCUCAUUAUAAAAUGGCACAUUGACUUCACUGUGCGUUGUUUUAAAGGCGGGAGAAAUGGAGUCAAUUUUAUUUUAUCACACACAUAACAUAAAAGUCUUUGUAAUUACUUUAUUUUAUGAGACUCCCCAUCAGCUGGGCAUAUUGUAAAUAUCACGUUCCACAGUUUAUAGAUGGAGAAAGACAACCACAUGGAGACUAAGCUGCCCGUGUUCACAACAGCAACAACAGAAGCACACCCAAGAAGGCUAUUUCUAAAGAAAGUCUCCAUCUCUACCAUACAAGUAGACUCCAAGGUCAGGAGCUCACGAGCCUGCAGAACCCUGAGCCGGGACCCUCUGCUGAGCAGAAUCCUGCCUUGGUGCCACCGUUGUUAGACAUCUUACCUCAGCAUAGACGGCAACCUCGAGAGGAGACGCAUGGCUUAAUGUGUGUCUCCAGCUGUCAAAUGACCUACAAAGAAGUUUGAUCAUCAACAACAAAUGUGCAUCCGCUCAGGAGAAGACCCUUACCUCAAACACACAGCGGGAUGGCUGCAGUCCAUGAACUUUGAGUAUGAUGAAAGUCUACUCUCCACACCACCACCAAGACGGGCAGCAGCCAGCCCGUCUUUCCUCAGAUCUGCCUCCGCUUACAGAUUCCUGACUUGCAAACCGAAAAGAAGAAUCUCACGCACCAUUUCUCUGCCAGCUGAGUUCCUGUCCUGGGAUUGAACUUAGCUGUCGCGCUUGAGAGAUGGCGUUUUUACCAGGUAAGCCAUCUCCCUGGCCCCUUUCAGUGCCCUUUAUGUUCAAGAAUAAGAAGUCUGCAUCUGAAGAACGUGAAGGUGGAUCGACGAUAUCAGCAACGUUAAUUGGCUCGUUUCUCAGUGGCUACAAAGAAAGGAGCUUGUGAUUAAUAAGGCUUUGAUUUUUCCAGUGUAUUUUAUUUUGAUGUUUUAAGACGGAGCUUCACCGUGUUGCCCAGGCUGCUCCAUCUGCCUCGGUCUUCCAAGUAGCUGGGAUUACAGGCAUGUACCGCCAUGUACCGCCAUGUUGGGCACGGUGUACUUCUAUUUGGUAGUUGAUACAAUGGCAUUAUGCAACACUGACCAGACUUGGUUAGGUCACCUCUUGCAGGGGGGAAUUCUGUGGUUUCCUUUCCCUACUAGACCUGUGUCAUUGAGCAAACUAAAUUAGCAGAGCAAUUCACCCCUACAUAAGCCAUUAAUGAAGUGCCUCCAUUAUACAUGCAUAUUCAUUAGCUCGCCCCUGAGGAAUUCUCCAUCAAUCCCAGCACACAAAGCCCUGACAAGUCAAGACAGAUGAAGCUUCUCCGUGGUCGAGGAGGUGCUAGCUUCCUGUAUUGUAACACGGAGUGAGUGUCCGUGGCGCUUUCCUUUGUAAAGCUGAGAGAUACUGUGGCUCCCACACAAUGGGAGAGGAUCACAGAGCUCACAGGACAACCAGGGCUCGUCUGGUAUGGCACACAGAAUGGGAGCGGUGGCUCUUUUUCAUCUUCCCGUAAACUUCCUGGGAAAUGAUCUUUCUGAAAGCUUCGUUAAGAAGGAAAUGGCCAUCUAGGUUUUAUUUCGGUCCAUAUUCUAAGAAUUUUGAAACAUGAAACGUGUUCCAGGAAAAAUGAAACAACAUUCAGGUUCAUUUCCUAAAGAUUUCCUAGUCAGGGCCUUAUGGUAACUACCUAAUCCCUUCCGAGGACAGCGUCCCAAUGUCCUAGUCACCUCUCCAAUACUCCAUCUUUCUUAAAGGUCCCCACCACUAUACAGUCUACAACCAUUGGAGGACAAAGUAUAUCCAAGUCAGAGCAUUGGUAUUAAGUAAAUACUUCCUUAAUACAACCACUUAGGUAUCCUCCCCCUUACCCCGCCCUGUGUGUGUGUGCGUGUGUUUCUCUGUCUUUCCCCUACUCAUAAGUUGGGGCACAGUCUGUUGCUUCAACUUUCUAACUAAAUCCAGUAUGCUAGGAUGAGAAAGAAGAGAAGAGAAACAAUAAAAAAAAAAAUCAAAACACACUCCACCCCACACCUGGAAACUAUGCCCCUCCCCCAAGCAUUUUGCAGAAGACUGAAGGUGACCAGAAAUGGUGGCUUCGGACUGAGAAAUCCCUCGGAAAGGAGGAAUAUCCCUUUGGCCUCACAGUGCUUGCAAGGCUGCAGUUACAGAGCAAGUAAUGUCCUUAAACUCCCCAGGAAUUGAAGAUCCUUAGUACACUGAUGACAAAUUUAUUUGAGAAAGAUUGUCAUCUGAGGAGGCUGACUUUCGUCCCCAAAUUUGGGGUUUUAAGAAGCAAAUUAGAGCCAGGUUCUUGGCAACAGAGCUGAUAAAAUAUUUAAUACAGAAGAAAUUAAAAAUAAAUAAACAAGUUUAAAAUGAAUGUAAAUUUUAAAAAAAAACAUGAAGUAUUUGACUAUAAAAUAUUUUGUUGGAGUUUUUAACGGGCACCAGAAUUUGACUAUGUUCAUCCUGCCACUUACAAGAAAUAAAAAAGGAAGGCAGAAAUCACGGAGAGUCACAGGAUGACUCCUCGCUUGUCAUUAACAUCUUUUACGAUGGCAGUAGGAAAGAGUCGCUGACCCAGCUAGCCUGGAUUAAUACUGAGCUCUAUGCCGAAGAGAAUCAACCCACAAAAUCCUUUAACUGUAGGCCGUGGGCAGAGGGCAUUUCCCUGAAAGGAAGGACACACAAAGGCUCACCUGAGCACAUGCUUGGAACGACCCAUUAGCUCAUUUGAAUCUUCAAUCUGUAGAUCUGGAGGGCUGGAGGGCAUCGAGGACCAUUUUGAUACAGGCAGAGGCAGAAUUUGCUCUGUUUCAAUUUUAGAAUCUGUGCUAAAAUGGGCAAUUUAGAAUAAUAAAGCUAUCAUGUGCUUCUUGGUCUCUCUCCUGGCUUUUGAAUUGUUGCAUUUAGAUCUUAACUCUCUGCUACUGGUGCUUUGUCUGGAAUAUCUUACAGAUCUGCUGGCUUUGAAUAUAUUCAGUUUACGGAGUGGGAGGAAAUGAUAGCUGAAUGUCCUUUCCUGGGGCUGAACCCAUCGUAUGGUAGUAACUGCUGUGGGAAGGUGCUCCAUUUUACCAUUAGUAUUUACCUCAUUUCUGCUAAUAAUCUCUCCCCCACAUUGGCUAAAAUGGACAUCGUAUUGGCUAUCAAGGAAGAGACUAAGAGACACUUUCAGCCCACACAGUUCUUCUACUAGAAGGCUGGCUACAGAGUUUUGCAGGACUCAGCAGCCCCAGCAACACCGGGCACACAGACA